UUCGCUAUUUCUACAACUGUUGCGGAAGAUAUAAACAUAAAUUGUUUAUACAUUAAACUUUACACACUAUUCCCAAAAUCGAGUAACCUUAACUAAUACACAAUCGUGAACUGUCUAACACAUGACAAUACUAUUCUUCAACAUACUUUACAACUUAACUUCACAUUCUAUCCCAAGCUGAACUUGGCAUUAUCCUUUUCCUGUAUCUGGCCGUAUUCGCCUUAUCUGCAAUGUUUUAUCAUGAUAUAGCAAGGGUGAGCAUGAAAGUUGCCCAGCAAGUUUAAAAAAAACAAGGUAAAGAUAUAUCAUGAUUGAAAGAGUUUGAAUAAUAAGCUGGCUAUCCUUCACAAUGUAGUUGUGAAUUAGCAUGAACAAAAUUUCAAAGCUGAAUGAACAUUGAAAAUGAACAUAACAAUUAUAUCUGAACUGACUGGUAAUGAAGGUGAUCAGCCUUUCAUACCUGAUGAAUACAUGCAAUAUGUACAGAGUACAAUUCAUAAGCAUAUCUGUCUGAAACCACUCUUAAAAGAGUUUAAGUAAAAAGAACUUGAAAAACUUGCACCAUAAUUGGAAGUUCAAGUUUAGGAACUUGCCUGUACCGUUGAUUACCGUAACGCAAUAUAAUACGCUUCUCCUGAAGACCUAAUAUUAAUAAUAUAGAUCUCCAGUAUUAGAAUAAUAUCAUCUCAGUUAUAAAAUAACUUAAACAUAUUACCACAUAAUCUUAUCAGUCUCUUAUACACAUAAGACAUAGCUUCAAGUCAAACUAUUACAGUCCGAGUUGAAAUCGGUACAAUUCUUUCAUCCCGAUGGUCUAAUCGGACAAUUAACGAGUCUAAGUUUAAUUAAACUCUGCCUAAACACUUGACGAUAUCACAGAUAAUUUUCUUAUCAGUCUAAAUGAUUUUCAUAAGCUUGAAAUAUUUUUCAGAUAAUUAAUAUCAUUUAUCUAAAUUUUCCGAUCAUUAAUAACGUAUUUAAAUGAAUUAAAUACCACAUAAUUCUUUAAUCAUUAAUAUCUAUUUAAUAUCAAAUAUUAAUGAAAAUCAUUACAUAAUAUUAUAAUAUAAUUUAUAAUAUAUCACGGUAUUUUUAAUACCUUAAAAUCACAUUUAUAUGAUUUUUAAACACUUAAAAUCAUUAUCCGAUAAUUGAUAUUAAUAAUAAAAUAUUAAUAUUUUCAUGACAAAAUAUCAAAAGUUAUAUUUUAUAACUUAGAAUAUUUUUUCUAACACACAAAUCAUUUUUAUAUGAUUUUUAAAUCAUUAAUUCUAUUUUUCUAUAAUUUAUUUAAUAUAUUUAUUAAAUAAACUAAUUAUCAUUAAUAUUGAUUAAUUAAUCAAUUUUCAUCACAAAAUAUUAACUUAAAAUAUUUUAUAACACCAUAAACUAAUUUUCCAUGAUUUUCCAUGAAUUAAAACUAUAUUUAAAUCAUUUAAUUAGUAUUAUAAUUAAAUAAUUUAAAUACCUAUAUGCAAAACCAUUAUCCG
rnacentral:lncRNA from 1 species